ensembl:lncRNA
GCCAUAAAACACCAGAAGAAGAAGAAAAAUUCAGUGCAUGCUCUGUGAAUGGUUCGAAAAUUGUCACUUAUCAAACAUGGAUUCUUCCAUGUAUAUUCAGUUUUUAGUCCUGGUUUGCAGUGAAGAACAAGCUCAGGGCGAGCCAUCUCAGGACUGUGCUCAACAUUCUCACAAGCUCCACACUGGGAAGAGGUCUGAUCCAGGAAGUUUUCACAUUGCUCUAUGAAGUUGAGCAAGCCCGCCGUCUCACAAGAAUCAUUGAAGGCAAGAAACUCCAGUCAGAUGGGCGGUCAUCCAUAGAAUGAGGAUGCCACAUCUGAGGAGGAGGUAUGGGAGGGUGGAAUGUCAGCAGGUGGAUUGAUGUCAUAGGUGGCACUCAAGUUGGAUGGUGUGAUUCUAUCUCUAGGUGCAGGUACCAGUGUUUUGGAGCAUGGAUGGAAGAAAAGUUGGAUGUAGCAUGUAGAUUGCAUGUAGUCUGCAUGUAGUCUGCAUGCAGUCUGCAUGUAGAUUGCAUGUAGUCUGUAUGUAGAUUGCAUGUAGUCUGUAGAGAGUAGUACUGCUAGUCUGUCUGAGUGUCUUUAUCUGACUCCCAUUUAGCAUCUCUCCGCAGGAAACAAUCUACAAUCACCCUCUCCAAUGUCUCCUGGGACCUUUGAAAAUUGUCUUACAUCUGUGCUAAGCUAGCAUCCACAGCGUCCCUGAAACUGGCUUGUUAAGUGUGCUGUUUAUGGAUUGUUUGAAGUCUAUGUCU